rnacentral:lncRNA from 10 species
CUAGCCGGUGGUUCAGGUGGCCGGUCGGGCUGGAAGGGCGGGGAUGAGGGAUGGGACGCAUCCCCGGGGGAUGCUCCUCCAAAGCUUUUAUCGGGCGAGCGCAGUGGCUCACGCCUGUAAUUCCUGCACUUUGGGAGGCUAAGAGAUGGGGUUUCACCAUAUUGGCUAUGCUGGUCUCGAACUCCUGACCUUGUGAUCCACCUGCCUUGGCCUCCCAAAGUGCUGGGAUUACAGGAUGAAAGGCUUCCUAGCACAAACACCACCCCUGGAGUUCCCGGUACAUCAAUACCAGCCUGGGGAUCACGUUCUCAUCAAGAGUUGGAAGAGGGAAAGCUUGAACCAGCUUAGGAGGACCUCAUCUGGUACUCUUGAUGAAUGAAACAGCAAUCUGAAUGGCUGAAAAAGGAUGGACCCAGCACUCCAGGGAGAAAACUUGGCAUUCUUUGGGAAUCUAACAGGAUGCAGUGAACCCAAGCCUUUUGAAGAGCUCACCAAUCAGACUGCCCUUGUCUAUCCAUGAGCAGAUGUUUGAUAGUAUUGCGGAGGCCCUCUAGUGGGUAUGCUGCCAAGCAACUGGAG